rnacentral:snRNA from 11 species
AUCCUAGUGCACGGGUUUUACACGUAUCAGUGAGGAGACAUCCGAGAUCGUGUUUUUGCUAGUUGAAAACUACCAAAUUGACUACUUCAAGUGAGCCUAAUCGCACGCUUGGGAAUUUUUGAAACCACCUUGCCUCAACUCCUUGGCUCUUGAGCCCUCGAGUUGAAUAUGAUUCUUAGAUG